rnacentral:rRNA from 1 species
AUUGAACGCUGGCGGCAGGCCUAACACAUGCAAGUCGAGCGGAUGAAGGGAGCUUGCUCCUGGAUUCAGCGGCGGACGGGUGAGUAAUGCCUAGGAAUCUGCCUGGUAGUGGGGGAUAACGUCCGGAAACGGGCGCUAAUACCGCAUACGUCCUGAGGGAGAAAGUGGGGGAUCUUCGGACCUCACGCUAUCAGAUGAGCCUAGGUCGGAUUAGCUAGUUGGUGGGGUAAAGGCCUACCAAAGCGACGAUCCGUAACUGGUCUGAGAGGAUGAUCAGUCACACUGGAACUGAGACACGGUCCAGACUCCUACGGGGGGCAGCAGUGGGGAAUAUUGGACAAUGGGCGAAAGCCUGAUCCAGCCAUGCCGCGUGUGUGAAGAAGGUCUUCGGAUUGUAAAGCACUUUAAGUUGGGAGGAAGGGCAGUAAGUUAAUACCUUGCUGUUUUGACGUUACCAACAGAAUAAGCACCGGCUAACUUCGUG